rnacentral:rRNA from 2 species
UACGUAGGGUGCAAGCGUUAAUCGGAAUUACUGGGCGUAAAGCGUGCGCAGGCGGCUUGAUAAGACAGGUGUGAAAUCCCCGAGCUCAACUUGGGAAUAGCACUUGUGACUGUCAGGCUAGAGUAUGUCAGAGGGAGGUGGAAUUCCAAGUGUAGCAGUGAAAUGCGUAGAUAUUUGGAAGAACACCGAUGGCGAAGGCAGCCUCCUGGGAUAAUACUGACGCUCAUGCACGAAAGCGUGGGGAGCAAACAGG